CCAUGUCCAGGCUGAAGCUGCCGUAAGAGGUAGUGGAGGGCCGAACGCACAUCCGUUGAAAAGGGUGGCGAUGAGGUGUGGGUAGGGGAGAAAUUCCAAUCGAACCCGGAGAUAGCUGGUUCUCCUCGAAAUAGCUUUAGGGCUAGCCUCGAUGGAGUCUUACGGAGGUAGAGCACUGAAUUUCUAAGGGGGCGUCAAAGCUUACCAAGGGAUAUCAAACUCCGAAUGCCGUAAAGAUGCUCAUCGGGAGUCAGACUGCACGAGAUAAGUUGGGCAGUCAAAAGGGAAAGAGCCCAGACCUGCUGCUAAGGUCCCAAAGUACGUGUUAAGUGGAAAAGGAUGUGGGAUUUCGAAGACAACUAGGAUGUUGGCUCAGAAGCAGCCACACAUUCAAAGAGUGCGUAAUAGCUCACUAGUCGAGAGGUCCUGCGCCGAAAAUGUCCGGGGCUGAAACACGACACCGAAGCACAGGAUACCGUAUGGUAUGGUAGAGGAGCAUUGCUGGCGCGAUGAAGCAGUACCGGAAGGAGCUGUGGAGUGCCAGGAAGAGAGAAUGCCGGAAUGAGUAGCGAGAGAGAGGUGGGAAUCCUCUCGGCCGAAUAUCCAAGGUUUCCAGGGUAAAGCUGAUCUGCCUGGGUAAGUCGGGGCCUAAGGAGAGGCAGAAAUGCGUAUCCGAUGGACAGCAGGUUGAGAUUCCUGCACUAUCUAAAACAGAACUGUGGGGACAUUUGUGGAGAGCACAGGCGCGGAACGGAAAGCCGCGUGCAAGCGAAGGAGGAGUCACAUAGGAAAAACCGUGUGGCAAUCCAAAGGCGUGAUGCGGACCGAA
rnacentral:rRNA from 2 species